rnacentral:rRNA from 1 species
AUUGAACGCUGGCGGCAGGCCUAACACAUGCAAGUCGAACGAGUGGCGGACGGGUGAGUAAUGUCUGGGAAACUGCCUGAUGGAGGGGGAUAACUACUGGAAACGGUAGCUAAUACCGCAUACCAUCAGAUGGGCCCAGAUGGGAUUAGCUAGUUGGUGGGGUAAGGGCUCACCAGGGCGACGAUCCCUAGCUGGUCUGCGCGGAUGACCAGCCACACUGGAACUGAGACACGUUCCAGACUCCUACGUGAGGCAGCAGUGGGGAAUAUUACACAAUGUGGGAAAGCCUGAUGCAGCCAUGCCGCGUGUAUGAAGAAGGCCUUCGGGUUGUAAAGUCCUUUCAGCGGGGAGGCGUUACCCGCAGAAGAAGCACCGGCUAACUCCGUGCCAGCAGCCGCGGUAAUUC